ensembl:lncRNA
CCUGAGAAGCAGGGAGUCCAGUUCCAGGAGAUGACAAAGAAACACAGGAUUGCAGAGUGAAAUUGCUGCAGAUAAAGCUUGGUUCCAGGGUUGGGGAGAGGGAAUGCGGUUUUCAGUAGAAGAUAAGAAAAUGGGCAGCAGCAUUUGCAUUUGAGCUCUGCUCAAGUGCAAAUUUGAAGUCUGCCUUUCAGACAGAGGAAAAGAAAGGACAUUCUAGGUCUUUCCUGUUAACAAUUUGGAUUUGUUAAGAAUACUAACUAUAUCCUGAAAGGUAUCAUCCUUGGAAAAAUUUAGAGACUUCUACUUACCUUGACAAUCACCAAGAGUUCAUGCAGAUUUCAAGUGUUCACUCAGGAAAGAAAUCAAGCUAUGGAAAAUUCUUGCCUUGCCAAACUUAUAUAGACUCUUUGACUCAGGUGCAACCCUGGCAACAUAUAGUAUGUUACAAUCAUGAGAGGCAACCAUUAUCUUACCAUCUAUUACAAGUAAAUACAAAUGGAGCAGAGUUGGAGUUCUGCAUCACAGAAUUCUUACAUGGAGAACAAAAUUUCAACUUUCCUCAUCCUUUUUCUGUGGAAGGAAGUUUAUCCUCAAAGUAGAUGAUUUAUCUUGAAGUUCAAGUAGCUUUCUCUGAAAAUUAUUAAAACUCAGCCGCAGAUUGUUAUGCUUGAGGACCAUCCUGAGGACAGGAGUUUUGACUUUUUCCAAUCACUCAUUGUUUAAAUGUUCCUUGAACUGACUAACAGACUGCACUCUCCGGCUGCAGAAAGCAUUCGAAUAUGCAACAAAGGGAAUAAGUACAAGUAAAGUAUAUUCUUCCUUCUGGAUGUAGGAAGGACUGGUGAGAAAAAUGAUUACUCCCAGGUGGUACUUGGGCAGUCAUGGUAACCAGGUAGUUAGAAAAAAUCAUGAAGCAUUAUAGUGAGCAAACACUUAUCAAGUUUAAACCACAUCACAUCUUUCUAUUACCUUGUUUUUUCUAAGUCCCAAAAUGGUCCUGUGGAGUGAGUAUGUGACUCAGGUAGUGACAGCACUCGGGGGCACCCAGUGUAUGAGUUGGAGUUGGAUUUGAGUGCAGGGUAUGUGCUCCUUUGACUACAUGCAUAUAGUUUCUUGUUCAGUAAACUGGACUUGGAAUCACAAGGAUCUUCUUUCAUUUUUCAGACCCUCCUGAGCCCUUUGCAUUAGAGUGUUGGCUGAGAGCAUGAAAGAUGUAUUUGUAGAAAUAGCUGACUCUCAAAAUGUUAAAAAUAUUGAAGGAGCGCAUAUAACAAAGCAUUCUAUAAACUGUAAAAGUGUCAUGCAAAUACUGAUUUUGAUCACUUGCACCCGCAACUCUUAGGUGAUGACAGUAAGUCUGCAGCUGGGCAUCCAUAAGGAGGCCCACUAAGGCAGAAUGGAAAGAUUUUCUGUGCUGUUGAGACUGUGCCUCCAUUGUGACACUGCUGAGGGGGGCGUGGGAGCCAGGUUUGUGCAGGGAUUAAGCUAAGUUGCAAUCUUGGUGUCAGCUGUUGCUAAAUGGGGCAUCCUGUCGAGAGGUCAAAUCCAUGCACUCACAGGUGUGCACAGUAGUGCCCCAAGCACGUUUCUUAGGCUCCUUCUUGGCUUUCUCCCACGUCCUUUCACCACCUCUUCCCUUAUGCCAUCCAAAGUAAGCAAAACCAGAAAAUAUCAAGCAGACACUGGAGAUGACACAACUUCCAGUGCCGGGGUCCAGCCCCGGUGGAUCCAGGGUAAUUCGAAGCAGGGACAGAGUCANNNNNNNNNNNNNNNNNNNNNNNAGAGAAAUUAGGGAAGAAUAGUGUAGUAGGAAAAUUAGUGGAGAAAAGAGAGUGAACAUCUUGGUUUACGCGGAGAACCAAUAAAAAACUGGGACAAGGGGUUUGCACCACCUAUGUAGGCCACAGGCAUCUUCCCGGUCUCCCGGAAGAGUGGAG